GAGUAGCGACAGAGGGCACCGUGCUCAGCUUUUGCUCUUUGAUCCUCUCGAUCGGUGGGAAUGCUCAUCAGCUGGCUGAAACCUACAGGUGGUGAUCCAUGUGACAGCACCAUCAGUUGAUUGGGGCCUCUGCUGCUUUGUCUGCUGCGUUCUCCGCUGUUAAAUGCUGCCAAGUGUACAUUUGUUGUCUUUGCCACGAGGUGCCCAGCGUAUCUACUGCCGGCUGCCGUCAUCGCUGGCUGGGGGGGCUAUGGUUGGCUUUCCUGGUGGAUUGCCGACACCAGAUUUGAACCAGUUUAGUCCUUUAUUCUUAGCUGAACAACGGCUGCAGGCUGGUGGCGGUUUUAUUUGUGUGUUCCAUUUGAUUUUGUGCCAUCACUGGGUGAACUCUUGUUUGUUUUCUUUAAGUUGGUUUUAUUAAUUCUCUUGCCCCACCACCGGCCCUUCUCACCAGUGGGCCCUUAGCAUUUGAUGAGGUUUAUUUUUGAUUAUGUGACAAAU